UACGUAGGGUGCGAGCGUUGUCCGGAAUUAUUGGGCGUAAAGAGCUUGUAGGCGGUUUGUCGCGUCUGCCGUGAAAAUCCGGGGCUCAACCCCGGACUUGCGGUGGGUACGGGCAGACUAGAGUGUGGUAGGGGAGACUGGAAUUCCUGGUGUAGCGGUGAAAUGCGCAGAUAUCAGGAGGAACACCGGUGGCGAAGGCGGGUCUCUGGGCCGAUACUGACGCUGAGGAGCGAAAGCGUGGGGAGCGAACAGG
rnacentral:rRNA from 1 species